rnacentral:rRNA from 1 species
GACGAACGCUGGCGGCGUGCCUAAUACAUGCAAGUAGAACGCUGAAGAGAGGAGCUUGCUCUUCUUGGAUGAGUUGCGAACGGGUGAGUAACGCGUAGGUAACCUGCCUUGUAGCGGGGGAUAACUAUUGGAAACGAUAGCUAAUACCGCAUAACAAUGGAUGACACAUGUCAUUUAUUUGAAAGGGGCAAUUGCUCCACUACAAGAUGGACCUGCGUUGUAUUAGCUAGUAGGUGAGGUAACGGCUCACCUAGGCGACGAUACAUAGCCGACCUGAGAGGGUGAUCGGCCACACUGGGACUGAGACACGGCCCAGACUCCUACGGGAGGCAGCAGUAGGGAAUCUUCGGCAAUGGGGGCAACCCUGACCGAGCAACGCCGCGGGAGUGAAGAAGGUUGUCGGAUCGUAAAGCUCUGUUGUAAGUCAAGAACGAGUGUGAGAGUGGAAAGUUUACACUGUGACGGUAGCUUACCAGAAAGGGACGGCUAACUACGUG